rnacentral:rRNA from 1 species
GAGGAGCUUGCUCCUUGGGUGACGAGUGGCGGACGGGUGAGUAAUGUCUGGGAAACUGCCCGAUGGAGGGGGAUAACUACUGGAAACGGUAGCUAAUACCGCAUAACGUCGCAGACCAAAGAGGGGGACCUUCGGGCCUCUUGCCAUCGGAUGUGCCCAGAUGGGAUUAGCUAGUAGGUGGGGUAACGGCUCACCUAUGCGACGAUCCCUAGCUGGUCUGAGAGGAUGACCAGCCACACUGGAACUGAGACACGGUCCAGACUCCUACUGGAGGCAGCAGUGGGGAAUAUUGCACAAUGGGCGCAAGCCUGAUGCAGCCAUGCCGCGUGUAUGAAGAAGGCCUUCCGGUUGUAAAGUACUUUCAGCGAGGAGGAAGGUGUUGUGGUUAAUAACCGCAGCAAUUGACGUUACUCGCAGAAGAAGCACCGGCUAACUCCGUGCCAGCAGCCGCGGUAAUACGGAGGGUGCAAGCGUUAAUCGGAAUUACUGGGCGUAAAGCGCACGCACGCGGUCUGUCAAGUCGGAUGUGAAAUCCCCGGGCUCAACCUGGGAACUGCAUCCUAAACUGGCAGGCUAGAGUCUUGUAGAGGGGGGUAGAAUUCCAGGUGUAGCGGUGAAAUGCGUAGAGAUCUGGAGGAAUACCGGUGGCGAAGGCGGCCCCCUGGACAAAGACUGACGCUCA